AGAAAAGCAGUUUUGAGCCUCCAAAAUCAAUGCCUGAGGUUUCUCUUUAUUCCCUGUGUCAUUUCCAGCAAGCACCGAGCAAUUCUUUCCUAUAUUCUACAUUCCAAAAUCUUAUCAUCAAAACCCUAAACAUCCUUUCCCUAGCAACCUCCAAUCAUCGCAUUCUAUUUUUGAAAAACCAAUAGUUUUUUUCUUAGUUUGCUUGCUGGUCACAAUUUCCUGCACCCUUUUUUCUCCAAUCUAGCCAGCUGCUUUUUGAACUCAAACAUCAAAUGAUUCAGUUCAAAGUCAAAUUCACACUUAACCGCUAAAAGUAAAGCCUAAAACUUAUCUUUAUCAGUGUCUUCAGAACUUAAUUACUG
rnacentral:misc_RNA from 1 species